rnacentral:rRNA from 1 species
GCAAGUCGAACGCUGAAGCCUGGUGCUUGCACUGGGUGGAUGAGUGGCGAACGGGUGAGUAACACGUGAGUAACCUGCCCCUGACUCUGGGAUAAGCCUGGGAAACUGGGUCUAAUACUGGAUAUGACUGAUCAUCGCAUGGUGGUUGGUGGAAAGAGUUUUUGGUUGGGGAUGGACUCGCGGCCUAUCAGCUUGUUGGUGAGGUAGUGGCUCACCAAGGCGACGACGGGUAGCCGGCCUGAGAGGGUGACCGGCCACACUGGGACUGAGACACGGCCCAGACUCCUACGGGAGGCAGCAGUGGGGAAUAUUGCACAAUGGGCGCAAGCCUGAUGCAGCGACGCCGCGUGAGGGAUGACGGCCUUCGGGUUGUAAACCUCUUUCAGUUAGGAAGAAGCCUUUCGGGGUGACGGUACUAGCAGAAGAAGCGCCGGCUAACUAC